UCAUGACGAUAACACGCUUAGUAGCUCUGUUCUUUUGCGGAACUUUCGCUUGUGUUAUUGCUGUAACUAACUUUACUGAGUUUAUCAAAUAUGAAGACCUUGGAGGAUUUACGUGCCCGUCUGACCAGGUCGUAUUUGACGACGAGGAUAAAGGGGAGUUUAGUACAAUGCGUCUUACAGUGUUCAAAAACCUCAACGUGUUACGGUGUUUUUCACGUCGAAGAGAACAUGCGCUGCGUUGGCUGCAAGGACGAGUUUCUGACAAACGCCACAGCACCGCUCCUCGAAUGGCACUAAACAUUACAGUCGGCGCCGGAAUACUACUAAAGCGUACAGAUUGGUAAAACAGAAUUUUAAUUGGACUGAUGCGAAGAAACACUGUGAAGAUCUAGGAGGAUAUAUAGCAGACAUAAAAACACAGGAAGAGCAACGCUAUUUGGAAAAAUACGUCUUUCCCGCUGACAAACGUGUCUGGCUAGGAGCAAAGAGUGAUGAACACGGAGUCUACCUUUGGCAAGACGGAAGCAAUGUCUCCGAUGGUUACAACAACUGGUAUCCUGGACGGCCAGAUGGUGUUCACUGUGCUGUGUUUUCACCUUAUUUAGUGUAUUGGUAUGAUAAGGAUUGUGACAUGCUUUUCUUUAGUUUAUGUGAAUUUGACUGAUUCGUCAGGCAUCUUAUCUAAUUCUAUAUAUUUCAACGUUAGAAAAAACGAAAGAAAAACAAAGACUUUUUUUCAGAACCAAUACAGGUAACGCCAUUGAUUUUCCCUAUCACUGGCAUAAUAGGGGUCGGUGAGCAUCCGCCUAUCAAGCUUACAUUAUUUAUCAAAUGAAAUGUUAUUAUGAAAGAAUAGAAUCCAUAUAAUACAAGAAAAAAACCUUCGCUAUACGAUAUCAUUGACUUGUCCGCAAGCGAAAAGAAGCGAAGAUAACUUUAUCUGAUUUUGAGUCAAAAUCCUUACUUAGUUACGCCCUUUGCCUUAACCAAAAUCCGUAACUACAGUGUUUCGAUUACAUUUCUGAAAUUUAAACCUUCAAUUCCAAUACACUGUAUUAAGUUUUGAUUUGAUUUUAAUUGCUAUAAAAAGAUUUAACAGGUGGCUUUGCAUUAUUAUGUCAUAUUAUUUCGAUAUUUAUAGAAAAAAAAAUAAAGUUUGGAAUCCAUUACAGACUUCCAAAUGAUAUAUUCGCAUCCAAUUACAAUUAAAAUUCUUAAACGGUAAUGGUUAAAAAGAACUGAAAACGUAUCUAAUUCUCUGCUAUAACUUAAAUAAUUCAAUGAAAGUGUGUACAAUAAUUUUACCUAUAGAUAAUAAUAUUUUGAAUUAUGAUAUGAAAGUAAGAUGUGAAUUUUAUAGGUUAUAGUUUACUCGCAACCAUAAAUAAGUUUUGACUGUUUAUUAUGUAAACCAG
rnacentral:lncRNA from 1 species